UGUACAUUGCCUUUCAAAUCUCUUGUUGACUAACCUUGUAUUUAAAGGACAUUCCAAUAUGGUGAGAAGCUGUUUGGAAAAGGAUUUCCGACUCUAUAUGUUUGGAAUUGCAACGACUUUAAGAUAUUCCAAUUGAAUUAUUCGACAAAAUAGACUCAAAAGUAAUAAAGGAAUGAAGGGGGAGCUUCAAUUGUUAAGAUCGGACACUCAAGGACUCUUAUCAAUGAAUGUUUUCUUAGAUUAGGAGAUGAAUCAAAGUUGACUUAACGAGGAAUAGACUCAAAAAUUUAAUUGAAGGAGCUGUAGAUGGAGGAUGAUAAAUCUGUGCCUAUUCCUCAAUAGAUCUGGAGAAAUUGAUGUAUUCUUGAGUAUAGAGGCGAUGAUUCACAGGAUCAGAAGUCACUAUCAAAAAUCUUGAUGUGAAGGGGUAUCUGCACAAUGAACGAUUAACGAGACGAUAUCCCUUGCACAGAAUAUGAAGUUGAAGCAAAGAUCAUAAGACAUAUCACUAGGAUAUCCAAAAAGUAUAGUAUUAAUUCUUAUGAAUGGAAACGAUGGGGGGAAUGGAUGUCCAGUAUAGCUGAAUGCUUCGUAGGAAAGAUCCAUCUUACAUCGUUCUUUUAUUUUUCUUUGAAUAUUAGGAAUACAACGGCAAUUUUGAUUUAUUCAAACAGAUUAUAUUGACAUUUUCUAUCUAAAAUUGGAAUAAAAUAUGGAAUAUUUUGACUAGAUUUAGGAAAUUAAGUUACGUGAAAUAGAUGUAACUAUAGUUAAGGUCAUGAAUAUUGUUGUAAAGAGCUAUGCGGAAAAGAAGCUGUACUGUAAAAAGUGCGCCCAAAAGAGCCCUGCUGAAAUGUAUGACCAAGUAUCGUAUAUUAUUCUUAUAAAAUAAAGGUAACGACGUGGUUACAGCUCCAAAUAACAAUUCAUAUGUUUAUAACUUAUAGCCAGCGGAAUAUACAAUAUGCAUUGCAGACAUAACUAAAGGACUCAAGGGAAAGAGCGAUCAAACAAACAAUUUACAACAACAAAAAUAUAAAGGAAAUAAAUAAGGUCAAAUCAUCUACAGCUACUGCACCGACUGAUAUAUACAUAGUUGUUAUUCUCUCAUAAUUUAAAAUAUUUAUUUUUUAUAAAAUACUUGUUAAUAUUUUUUUGAUUAUCUUUAUUAAAUAAUUUAAUUUUUUUAAAUAAAUAUAGAGUAUACAUAUAA
rnacentral:lncRNA from 1 species